rnacentral:rRNA from 1 species
AGAUUGAACGCUGGCGGCAUGCCUUACACAUGCAAGUCGAACGGCAGCACGGGAGCAAUCCUGGUGGCGAGUGGCGAACGGGUGAGUAAUAUAUCGGAACGUGCCCAGUCGUGGGGGAUAACGUAGCGAAAGCUACGCUAAUACCGCAUACGAUCCAUGGAUGAAAGCGGGGGAUCGCAAGACCUCGCGCGAUUGGAGCGGCCGAUAUCAGAUUAGGUUGUUGGUGGGGUAAAAGCUUACCAAGCCUGCGAUCUGUAGCUGGUCUGAGAGGACGACCAGCCACACUGGAACUGAGACACGGUCCAGACUCCUAGGGAGGCAGCAGGUGGGGAAUUUUGGACAAUGGGCGCAAGCCUGAUCCAAGCAAUGCCGCGUGCAGGAUGAAGGCCUUGGUUGUAACUGCUUUUGUACGGAACGAACGCUCCUUACUAAGUACGGGCUAAUGAACGGUACGUAAGAAUAAGACACCGGACUAAC